UUUUUUAAAGGGGUGAAAGCAGAACAUUGAAUAAAAAAGCCGUCCAUAAGAAUUCAUUCUAACAAAAGCCCAACAAGAGGUUACAACUGAGAGUAAAAUGAACAACACAACAAAUUUGUCAUCUUGUCAAGUCCCAAAUGCAUGAGCCAGGGACCAAUGGAUGCAAUUAAACCUCUAUGCAAUUUGGGUGUGUGGAUCGAAGAAACACAAAUACUUGAACCUCUUUACAGCAUUUUCAUGUCCUCCACAUGAAAGCCCUGAUUCCACAUUCCAAACUUAAAUUGUGCCAAUCAAUGUGCAACGUGAAUGGCCAGUUAGUUUAGUAGUCCCUGAAACAUUUUGGUCCAAAAAUGAAAGAAUGCAGAGCUUUUCCCCCCUUAAUGAAAUCAAAAUGAACCAAAAUUCUUCAUUCAUCAUUCGCUCGGUCAAAGCUUUCUAUUGUUAGCCUGGCUAGAUGAAGAUGAUGAUGCUUUCAAUCUAAGAACACUCUCAUCCUGAUCAGGACGGAAGAGAAGGUUACUCCAGUUAGUUGACCUUUGGACAAUCCUGGAAGGAACCCUGUCACUAUCUUCCCCACCAGAUGCUUCAUAUCCAUCGCUAGCAGACCUUGAUAGUGGGAUUCCACCGUGAGAAGCAGC
rnacentral:misc_RNA from 1 species